rnacentral:rRNA from 1 species
GCGGUGGAGCAUGUGGUUUAAUCGAAGCAACGCGAAGAACCUUACCAGGCCUCCACCCCCUGGCGGCUACGGAAACGUUAGUUUCCCGUCGGGGCGGGGAUACCGGUGCUGCAUGGUUGUCGUCAGCUCGUGUCGUGAGAUGUUGGGUUAAGUCCCGCAACGAGCGCAACCCUCGUCCUGUGUUGCCAGCGUAGAGGCGGGCACUCACAGGAGACUGCCGGCGGCGAGCCGGAGGAAGGUGGGGAUGACGUCAAAUCCUCAUGGCCUUUAUGGCCUGGGCCACACACGUGCUACAAUGGCCGGUACAGAGGGAAGCGAAGGGGGAACCUGGAGCGAAUCCCAAAAAGCCGGUCUCAGUUCGGAUUGCAGGCUGCAACUCGCCUGUAUGAAGUCGGAAUCGCUAGUAAUCGCGGAUCAGCAUGCCGCGGUGAAUACGUUCCCGGGCCUU